rnacentral:rRNA from 1 species
ACGGGAGGCAGCAGUGGGGGAUAUUGCACAAUGGGGGAAACCCUGAUGCAGCGACGCCGCGUGAGUGAUGAAUUAUUUCGGUAUGUAAAGCUCUAUCAGCAGGGAAUAAAAUGACGGUACCUGACUAAGAAGCACCGGCUAAAUACGUGCCAGCAGCCGCGGUAAUACGUCGGGGGCAAGCGUUAUCCGGAUUUACUGGGUGUAAAGGGAGCGUAGACGGCGAUGCAAGUCUGAUGUGAAAGCCCGGGGCUCAACCCCGGCACUGCAUUGGAAACUGUGUUGCUAGAGUGCAGGAAAGGUAAGUGGAAUUCCUAGUGUAGCGGUGAAAUGCGUAGAUAUUAGGAGGAACACCAGAGGCGAAGGCGGCUUACUGGACUGUAACUGACGUUGAGGCUCGAAGGCGUGGGGAGCAAACAGGAUUAGAUACCCUGGUA